AUGUGUAAAUAAAUACAUAAUAAAGUAAUAGCAAUAAAUAAUUCUAUUUUCAUAAUAUACGUGAUUUAAUAAGAAAAAUAUUGUAGGUGUGAUACUUAGACGUAAUGCCUAAGAAAACAAAUAAAUUAUAAGUGAUGUCAUUGUUUAGGGUAACAAAAAUGCGUGUGUGUGUGUGGAAGUUAAUAUUAAUAAUAUAUAUGUGCCGACAAUAUUAAUAAUAUAUUUAAAAACUCACAAGUUGAUCACAUAAAAAUAUAGUAUGAAUUAUAAAAUAUGAAUUAUAUAUAUAUUUUGAUAUUACUUGGUCUCCAAAUACACCGGCUGUAAUGGGCAAUUCACAGGGAUUGUGUUGUCGUGGAACCGGGGCACACGAUUGAAUCCAACGGCUAUGAACUCACAAGAUCUCACCAUUCGCCCCUCUCCCUUUGUCCUUCAGAGGUAUGAAGUGACCAAAGCCACCGCACACUGCUCUUCAUUCAUUUCCCUUCACAAUUCUCCCAAAUCCUAACCCCAUACCCUAAAAAUAAGAAGAAGACCCAGAUAUGCUCUCAUCCUUUAUCAAUAUCAUCUCUCCCUGACACUUCCCGACAAAGCCCACCUCUUUCUUCUCCUUCUCUUCCUUUCCUCCCCAUGGCUCACCGCUCCGCCCACCACCGCCGUAACUUAGCAGGUCCUCUGUCCUCCUCCGUGGAUUCCACAUCCACCACCUCCUUUACUUCUGCCCCUUCCCCUAAACCAGAUCUCCCUCUUACCUCCAAACCCUCUUCUUUGCUUCACCGCUUUUCUUCCCUCAACUUAAAUCACAACCAUUCCCUUCAUCCUCAGCCUCCUCCUGCCUGUUUAGACUCCCAUUUGCAGGCCAAGUCCAUGACUUCCUCUGCCAUUCUUCAUUCCUCCAAGACCCAUCACCCUCAACUUCCUCCGAAGCUUGAAAAAGAGUAUAAGCCAGCCAAGAAAACGUCCAAGGAGAGACCUCAGAAAUCUAUUCAAGAUUUGGAAAGGAGGAAACUUCAGGGUGUGUUGACGAAUGAGAAGGUGAAUGAUUCUUGUGUAGAGCUUAAUGGUAGUAGGGGUCUAUUUGGGGAUGAUGUUAAGAGGCCCUCUGUUUCACUGGCUCUAAGUAGUGGUAGAAGAAGAUCAUUCUGCGGCUCACAGGUGGAUUUAGGAGACGUGUUUGCAGUUAAUGGGGUCAAAGUGGUUUCUGCUGAUAUGCCACCGUUUAUGCAGAUCCAUGCCGUGGAUUGUGCCAGAAAGGCGCUUGAUAGUAUGGAGAAGUUCACAUCCAAGACUCUUGCCCUUGCCCUGAAGAAGGAGUUUGAUGGGGCAUAUGGUCCGGCUUGGCACUGUAUUGUGGGGACGAGUUUUGGUUCCUUUGUGACUCAUUCAGUUGGAGGGUUUCUGUAUUUCUCCAUGGAUCAAAAGUUAUAUGUCCUACUGUUCAAGACCACUGUACAAAAAGCUGAUUGAAGAAAUGUUCAAGAAGGAAGCUUCUUCUGCGAUGUUUAAUCAGAAUUUUUCAUAUGUAACUGGGGUCCACCGCAUUAAAUUUGAUGUUUGAAUGAACUUGCGGGGUAACCAGAGGUCUCGUUCAUCUGCCAGGUCUUCCGUCAUAGUUCAUAUACCUUAUUCACUUGCAGGAGGAAAAGGUACAGUACCAGUUUACCCAGAAAUUAUUAAACACAGGUGAAAAAAGUGAAACAUUCACUCUUAUAAUAUGUUAAUAAGUAUACUAAUAAUUGAGAUGAUUUGCAUUUGGAUUCCUUGGAGAGCUGUCAAAUCCUACUUUUGGAAUGAAUGACACGGUGGAAGCGAAGAACUCGCUACUUGCGAGGGCUCAAUCUCACUUUCUGGAAGAAGCUGAAAUUACAAGGCAACAUAGCCCUAUGGGAUUUGUACUUUGGCAAGUUUAGAGGGCACUGGGAUCUAACUAGGAUCUCAAAAGUGCCACUGAGAUCUCCUAAAUGUUUGUGCUUGUUAUUAUAAGGUUGGUUGGGGUACGCAAUCUAAGGCAUCCCUACAAAACAACGAACCAUCCCCCCAUUCCCUCGUUUGCUCCCGUCGUAGGGUCCCCAGUGAAGCAUAAUACAGUAUACUUAUACGCCUUUGCGUGCAAUAAUUGGGACGCAC